rnacentral:rRNA from 1 species
CAGCGGUGGAGCAUGUGGUUAAUUCGACGCAACGACGAAGAACCUUACCAGGCUUGACAUCCCUGACCGCGUAUGAAAGUACGUUUUCACCUCGGUGACAGGGAGACAGGUGGUGCAUGGUUGUCGUCAGCUCGUGUCGUGAGAUGUUGGGUUAAGUCCCGCAACGAGCGCAACCCCUAUUGUUAGUUGCCAUCAUUCAGUUGGGCACUCUAGCGAGACUGCCGGUAAUAAACCGGAGGAAGGUGGGGAUGACGUCAAAUCAUCAUGCCCCUUAUGACCUGGGCUACACACGUGCUACAAUGGUUGGUACAACGAGUUGCGAGUCGGUGACGGCGAGCUAAUCUCUUAAAGCCAAUCUCAGUUCGGAUUGUAGGCUGCAACUCGCCUACAUGAAGUCGGAAUCGCUAGUAAUCGCGGAUCAGCACGCCGCGGUGAAUACGUUCCCGGGCCUU